GACGAACGCUGGCGGCGUGCUUAACACAUGCAAGUCGAACGGAAAGGCCCUGCUUUUGUGGGGUGCUCGAGUGGCGAACGGGUGAGUAACACGUGAGUAACCUGCCCUUUACUUUGGGAUAACUUCAGGUAACUGGGGCUAAUACCGGAUAGUAGCUCCUGCUGCAUGGUGGGGGUUGGAAAGUUUCGGCGGUUGGGGAUGGACUCGCGGCUUAUCAUCUUGUUGGUGGGGUAGUGGCUUACCAAGGCUUUGACGGGUAGCCGGCCUGAGAGGGUGACCGGCCACAUUGGGACUGAGAUACGGACCAGACGCCUACGGGAGGCAGCAGUGGGGAAUAUUGCACAAUGGGCGGAAGCCUGAUGCAGAAACGCCGCGUGCGGGAUGACGGCCUUCGGGGUGUAAACCGCUUUCGCCUGUGACGAAGAGUGAGUGACGGUAAUGGGUAAAGAAGCACCGGCUAACUACGUG
rnacentral:rRNA from 1 species